GCAAAGCAGAGGGCUGGAAUGGAAUGAUGUUUUCCCUUAUCAGGAACAACAAAAUUGGACAUGUGAGCUAAUAGCUGUCUGACCUCCUGUGACAUGCAACUAUGGCAGUCUGGAAAAUGUAUCCUUAGGAUUGUAUUCCAUUGAAAGGCUCUAAAGUUCUUCAUUUCACACUGAUAUAUCUACAACCAAGGAGGUGAAUUGUGUAGGACCAUAGAUUUGCUCCCAGGCUACUUGAAAUCGUACCAAAUAGAGGAAAUAUAACAGAGAUAAAGUGAUAUUAAAGCCUUAAACAAAGACUAAAGAAGAUAUUCUACUCUUAUUUACAACAUGUAAUGAAGUUUUCUAAUAAAAAUGUAUGGAAUUAAAAGGCA
rnacentral:lncRNA from 1 species